AGAGUUUGAUCAUGGCUCAGAUUGAACGCUGGCGGCAGGCUUAACACAUGCAAGUCGAGCGGUAGCACAGAGAGCUUGCUCUCGGGUGACAAGCGGCGGACGGGUGAGUAACGCGUAGGAAUCUACCUAGUAGUGGGGGACAACAGUUGGAAACGACUGCUAAUACCGCAUACGCCCUAAGGGGGAAAGCGGGGGAUCUUCGGACCUCGUGCUAUUAGAUGAGCCUGCGUGAGAUUAGCUAGUUGGUGAGGUAAAGGCUCACCAAGGCGACGAUCUCUAGCUGGUCUGAGAGGAUGAUCAGCCACACUGGGACUGAGACACGGCCCAGACUCCUACGGGAGGCAGCAGUGGGGAAUAUUGGACAAUGGGCGCAAGCCUGAUCCAGCCAUGCCGCGUGUGUGAAGAAGGCCUUCGGGUUGUAAAGCACUUUCAGAAGGGAGGA
rnacentral:rRNA from 1 species